GAGGGUAUAGCUUAGUGGUAGAGUGUGUGCCUAUCAUGCUUGAGGUCCUGGGUUCAAUCUCCAGUGCCUCCA
rnacentral:tRNA from 1 species